UUUUUUUAGCAAGUAUUUUUUUAAAGAUUUUUAUUUAUUUAUUCAUGAGAGACAGAGAGAGAGAGAGAGGCAGAGACACAAGCGAGGGAGAAGUGGGCUCUCCAUGAGGAGCCUGAUGUGGGACUCAGUCCUGGACCCCGGUAUCACUUCCUGAGCCAAAGGCAGAUGCUCAAUCACUGAGCCACCCAGGUAUCCUGUAAAUUGUAUUUUCUUAGGAAUUUUCCAUUUCAUCAAAUUUGUAAAUUUCUUACCUAAAUGUAUUUUCAUUAUUUAUUAUCUUUUAAAUGUUUGUAUGAUCUGUAGUAACUCCCUUUUUUUCUUUUUUACUCCUGAUACAGAUUGUGUGGGUCUUUUUCUUUCUUUUUCAACCUUCAGAGAACUUAGUCUUUCAGAGAACCAAAUAUUGGCACUGUUGAUUUUUUUCUAUUAUACUAACAUUUUAUAUUUUAUUAAUAUCUGCUCAUAUUUUAAUUAUUUCUUUCCACCUACAUUCUUGAGUUUAAUUUGCUGGGAGUUAUUUUCCCUGGUUUUUUGAGCUCAAAAGUGAGAUCACUAUUUUGAAAAACUUAUUUUUUCACAUAUAGAUUUGAUAGUUGUACAUUUUUGUCUAGGCACAGCAUUAGAGGCGUUCAACAUAUUUUGCUCUGCCAUAUUUUUAUUUUCAUUCAGUGCAAAAUGUCAUUUAGCUCCAUUGGCAUUUUUUUUUGACCCAAGUUUAUUUUAAAAUGAAUUGCUUAAUUUCCAAAUAUUUAAGAAUUUUCUAGUGAUUAUUUUUAAUUGAACUCUACUGCAUAAAGUAAUUUCAAUCCUUUGGAAUUGGCUGAAUAUUAUGUCAUCUAUGUAUAGUGCAAUUAAAAAAAUACAUGAAAACCUAAUAAUAACAGGUUAUUUUAAAAAAAGAAAGAAAUGUGUUGUGACUUGUUUAUGGCCUACCAAAGGCUUAAUUUUGAUAAAAUUUGGUAAAUAUGACCUGAAAAAAGUAUGUUCUAUUAUUAUUAGUUCUAUUAUUAUUAGAUACACUGCUAAUUAGGUUAAUUUUGUUAGUCAUAUUGCUUACAUUUCCUAAUCUUCAGUUGUUUAUAGUUAAUUAUAAAAUUUAUUUACAGACUAAUUUACAUUAUUAUUAUAUUUUUGUUUUUGAAUUUCCAUUUAAUCUUCAUUUUAGAUUUAGUACCUUUGUAAAAUUUUCUCCUUAAUAUUUUACGUAAUAAUCUCUAUUAUUUUUAAGUACAUAUCUGGUAACUAUGGGUCUUAUUUCUUAGUAUGCCUGGUAUUUAAUGAUAGACAUUAUGAUUUAAAAAUAUAUAGCUUUGGGUGCUAUUAUUUUUUUUCCUAAGCAGCUAUCCCCCUAUCCUCUGUGAGGUAUCCAGAAUGCAAUCAGAUGAGUUCAAUUCAGUCAGGAAGUGAGUUGUCUUGAAAUGGAGCUACAAUCUUUCUAAGGCUUAAUGCAGCCUCUAGAGAUCCCAAGGAAAAGCCUGGUGUAUACUAGGGCUUCCUUCCCCUUUGGCAUACUCCAAAAUCCAACUUUUGUUUCCCAAGCACCAUGACACUGUCAAAAAUUCCACUCUGUGUUUCAGUUGCUUCUGCUUAAUUUCGCAUACUUUGCCCUGCACAGCUUACGAUCCAUUAAAUGCUUUACAGAGACUGGUGAUGCCAAAUGUUGAGGAAAUGGCCUGUCCUCAAUAUCUGUUUUCUCUGGGAUACUAGCCCUUCAAGUCCUGGCUGCUUCAGUGAGAGCAGUGGUCAGGUACAGAAGCCAAAAUUUACCCUAUGGUAUGAAAAGAAAACCUAAAACUUUUAAAAUGAUUUUCCAUUUAUUAAUGCUUUUUCUAUUCUUCUUUACAAAGUUCAGCAAACUCAAGGUCCUUUUUUACUUAACAUCACAAUUUCUGUAACUUGAUUUAGUGUUUCUUUUAGGAACUAUCUAACUUUAGUUAACUAUGUUUUACUACAUUUUAUCUCAUUUUUAAAAAAUAUUUAAAAAUAUUUAAAAAUAUUUUAGGGGUGCCCGAGUGGCUCAGCCUAUUAAGUGUCUGCCUUUGGCUCAGAUCAUGAUCUCUGGGUCCUGGGAUCAAGCCCUAUGUAUCAGGCUCCCUGCUCAACGGGGAGCUUGCUUCUUCCUUUGACUCUCCUCUCUGCUCAUGCUCUUUCCCUCUCAAAUGAAUGAAUAACAUCUUUAAAAAAAUAAAAUAAAGAUGUAAUUUACUUAUUUGAGAGAAGAAGAGAGAGCUCAUGUGAAUGGGGAGGAGCAGAGGGGGAAGGAGAGGGAGAAAGAAUCUGAAGCAGAGCCCUGACUCAGGGCUGGAUCCCAUGACUGUGAGAUCAUGACCUGAACUGAAGUCAAGAGAUGGAUGCUUAACCGACUGAGAUACCCUCGUGCCCCAUUUUACAAAAUUGAUUAUUUAUGGCCAAUUCACUCUCUAUUAACCCCCCUCACUCAGUUAAAUGGCUUUACAGGUGAUGGAUCACAAAAUCAGAAACAAAAAUCUUGGAGUAGCUUUAGAUUCUCUCAAAAUCAAUUGUUUCAUGAGUCUCAUGCCAUCUAAAUUUAUUUUGGAAGAAUUUUUUAAAAAUCAAACUUUAAAACAACCACUGGGGGAAAAUAGGUAAUUUUACAGCAAUCCCAUUUUAUGGCUUAAAAACUCAAAUCAAAACUUGGAAGUCAACCAGAGGUCUUGACUUUCCAUUUGAAGAGCUGAUAAUACUUGUUAAAAAUUGGAAUAUAUAAAAGGUUUAGGACUUAAAAAAUCAACACAUUCUGUAAUGUAGCCCAGCAGGGAGGAAACACAUAAGAAUCUAAGCUAAGAUUUUUUAAACCUUCAAGAUAUGAAUUUUAAAGUUUAUUAUAGAGCUCCUUUUUUUAAAUGUAAAGAUUUAAUCAAUACUCUUCUUUUUUAAAGAUUUUAUUUAUUUAUUUUAGAGAAAGUGAGGAGGGAAAGGGGCAGAGGCGGAAGGAGAAGGAGGGAGAAAGAAUCUCAAGCAGACUCCAUGCUGAGUAUGGAGCCUGACAAAGGGCUCAAUCUCAUGACCCCAAGAUCAUGAUCUGCGCCCAAACCAAGAGCCAAACACCCAGCUGACUGAGUCACCCAGGUGCCCCAACACUCCCUUUUAGUAUAUUUCCAUGUGUUAUUUAUCAACUGGUAAAUCAUAGACUGUUUUGUUUUCUGUGUCCUAUCAUAUAAAAUGGCUUUUUGGAGAGAAAUUUGAUCAAAAUCAAAUGUGGCUGGAUAAAAAAUGAAUUCAUUAUAUUGAAGGUGAAUACAUGCCUAUAUUUUAGAAUAGAUAAUUUGAACCAAACACGACAUUAUGAAAAUUAACAUUUGUUUUUCCUCAAUACUGGGACACAGAGUAGUAUUCUCAGGUCUUAUUUCCCAGUUACAAUAACAUGAAUAGAUAUUGAUGGAACCUAUUAUCUCAGCAAUAACACAUAUUACAACCAGUGAUUAUUUAUUAGCAGUAAAAUGUUUCUCCAGGAUUUAAUUAGAAUGCCUGAAAUGAGAUAACAAAAUCUUAGUCUUGGAAGUGAUCCUCUAUAUAGUUAUUGUUUAGGGAAAUUUUUAUUGCUUCACAGCAGUUAAAGAUCCUUCACUGGAUAGUUUUUUGCAAUGAAGGCAUAUGGUGAGGUACCAAGGUCUUGGAAGGCUGAUGUGAAUGAAUGCAUGCAGAAUUAGAAGCCAGACUUCUACAUGCAGAUAGAAAUGUUGGGCACGGAUGAAUUAAUCUACCCAGUUCUACUCUUUCAUGAUCAGGGCCUAGUCAAACUUCAGGUCUGGACAUAUGGAGCUGUAGCGGGGUUAUGGUGCAAAACUUGACUGAUCCAGUGGGCCAGAGCAGACUGUCUUAGAGGAUUUCAGCACUGAGCAAGCUAAUUCUACUUUAGACUGGACAAGCAACAGAGUAGUCUUACUAUAUUCUUGCAUGUUCUUGUGAUAGCAAGGCAAGCUUCUAGUCCUAAAAUAUGCAGAGUCAGGGAAGAGCUCAGGUGUGCACGAAUAAGAUAGGGCUGCAGACCUGGAACUUUUGAGUCACAGGUGUGAACUGACCAAAAAAGCAUAAAGUACCAGAUCCAGGAAUGCAAGGUCGGAGUAGGCACCAGAGCAAGUUUGACUUUGUGCUGAGCCUCCAAACUGAUACCUAAAGGCUUCCUAUAGUCUCCCUAAUUAGGAAUGAAAUUGGUCUUAGGGCCUGGGGCAAAGUUAGUCUCCAGGCAGCCUGUUCAGUGAUCCCAGCUAUGGGAGAGGAGAACUUUAAAACCAGGGUAUUGCUUCAUCACUGCAUCACUCUUUACUAGACACCUUUUUAUCUGUGGGCUUCUCUAUCCAUUUCCAGGACUCUUAAUUUUGGAGAUCAAUUAAGAACUAAAGGCAGUUUUUGCCUUGAUUACCAGGUAUUACUCUUGUGACUCCUAACAAAUGUGCAACAGGGGCCAGGCAUCUUCCUGGCAUGGCUACAGUUGUGCCAAGGCUUUACAGAUGGCCCAGGGCUCUGGGUUUUUCCCUCCUAGCUUCCUUUGAAUUUGCUGACUGAAGACUGAGUAAUGGCUGGAAGUGUCUAUGACUGAACUAAAAUCUUCAUGCUUCUAAAAUACUAAGAUAAAUUUCCUUAAUGGAACUGCUGGCUAGCAGAAAAAGAUUCUAUAGAAUUCUUACUUGUACUUCUAUCCAAAGCUUUUUUCUCUCUGAUUCCAAACUCCAGGCUCUUAGCAGAUUGCUUAAUUAUUUGGAAAGGUGCUGAGCCAGCAGGUGGCCUUGCACAGCCUGGGUCUAACCACACUGCAGCUGAGCACUGUGUGUGUCCUACACAAGUCUGCAUCUCGGUAGACUGGCCCCUUCAGGACCAUCACACAGCUAAACACAUUCCCUCUUCUUUGGCCUCUAUAGUCCAGAAUAUCAGGAUGGUGACUUGGAAAGAAAAGGUACAGGCAAACUAGGAGAGCCUGGGAUAUGGUAAACAGGUAUAAACAACCCAGAUAAGCAUGUUCUUGUGGACAGGUGAGGUUGAGCUAAAGGAGGCUCACCUGCCAGUGAAGAGAAAUCCAGUGAAGGAGCAUAUGUAAUGUUCAGAUUAUGGAACCAAAUAGUAAGCAAGUCAAGAGGAGCACAGUGUAGGGGGUAAGUUUGGUCAUCAGGUUUUCACAAACCCUAAGUGGAAUUUAAAUGCUUCCAUUGACUAGUGAUUAAUUCAGCCACCCAACACUUACUACAACCUACUAUGUGCUCUGGUGCUGGACUAGAUAUGUGCCAAGCCCAAAUUCUGUCAGCAGAGCCAGGGUUUCUAAGUACUAGUUAAAAUAGUAUGAAAUAAGGAAACUAUUUGCUAAGUAUAACAUUAGGCACUUUCAUACUGAGGAUUUAACUUAAUCUUUAAAACAUUCAUGUAGAUAUUAUUAUCCUCAAUUCUGACAAAUGGCAAAGGAAGCACAUUUCAUGACACUAGGAUAAAGUAGAAUAAAAGUAGAGUGAAGGUGAUCAUCUGUGGGACCUACGCAAAAUAUAACCUGAGUCUCUGACUUCUUACCUGUAAAACAGAUCAGAUACCUGUCUUGGAGGAUAGUUGCAAGGAGGAAAUUGCAUUCAGUGGCAAACACUAAAGUCCCUACCAAAGCCCAAGAGGCUGGUAGAGCGCAGGGACUGGAGCCUGGCCAGAUUCGCAUACAAUAAUCUUGGCACCGGGAAAAGCUGGCAUUGGUCAUCUAGCUGCACAUAAUAUGCCUCAGAAAUCUAGAGCUCAGCCACCAAUCCUGAGAGGCCUGGAAAAUCAAGGCAGCAGUGAAUGGAAAGCAGAUUGGUCAUUAGCACAAAGCAGGAGCCCAGUCACUGGAACUGAGGUAUGAUGUUAGGGAAGGAUUGGUCAGAUGACUGGUCAGAUGGCCCAUUAUUUCAGCAGGGUCUAUAGUAUAAGCCCCUGACAACAAGGAAGUCAACUGUCAGGAUUCAUUGCUCCCAUAUUCCCAUCUCUAGGAAUUACAUCUCUCUGUUCUUCCUUCUAUGACUCAGCGACUACUCAGCUGUUUGAUCUGCCUCCAGCCUUGUUCCUUAGACCCCAGGGACUGACUGUCUAUGUUUGUCCUGCUGUCUUCUCCCCGCUGAUGUCAGCUAGGUUUAUAGUAAGCUUACUCUAUGCUGAGUCAUCCAAACUCAAGGGGCCUGAGCUGCAUGAUGAGUCACCAGACCUGUGGAAGGCUGAGCCUACCAGUGGUAAAAAGAGGUCUCAGGUGGGGAAAAAAGGAACUGUAGACACAGAGUACCAGGCACUUCCUUCAGGGAUCCUCUACCAAAGCUUUACAGAACACGGUCUGUCUCAGUCUUGGUCUCUGCUCUUAGUCUUUCUGUGUAUCUCUCUCUCAAACACAGAUACGCACACGCAAUCUUAAGUCAUGGAUAUUGUGUGCUGGUAUCUAGGCCGUACUGCUGCACAGGAGAAAUUGUUCUUGCCCAUGACUUCUGAAGAUUAUGAUUGUCUCCUUCACAUGAAUAUAUGAGGGAGACUCCAGCCUAGAGCUCACAAGUAGGACUUUCUCUAAUUCCUGUUCACUAAUUAUAUCAUAAUUAAAUUAACAGGGGAAAGAGUUUGCUUUGUUAAUGUCAUAUUUCUGUUUGCCUUAAUUUAUGAAACAGGACCUAAACUACAUUACAGAACUGUUACAUUUCUCUAGGUUUGAACUCCAACCCAGAAUCCAGCCUGAGAAAUUCUUGUCCUUGCACACCCACCAAGUUUGCACUAAUCUGUUACUUGAACUCAUGUCCACAAAACACCAGCAGUAAAGGUUUCUAGAUAUGGAAUCAGAAAGGAUGUGAAGGUAGAGAAGGGGAUGUGUCAAUGACAACCAGAGUAUUUGAGGAAAACUGGGGAUAGAAAUUAUUAAGAAGUUAUGAAAAUGAGCACUGGGUGAUGUAGGGAAGUGUUGAAAUCACUAUACUGUACACCUGAAACUAACACAACACUGUAUGAUAACUACACUGGAAUUAAAAUGAAAACUUGAAAAAAUAAAUGAUAAAUACAUAAAUAAAAAGAUAUAAGUGUUCGCAAACAUAUGUGAAGAAGUGUAUGGAAAUAGUCGUAUGCUCAUCUCAUUGAAACUACAUUGUGAAUAAAUCAUCUUUCCAGCAAGACCUUAUUUCCUUAAGAUGUGUUUGCAAAUGUAAGUAUAGAAGGAUAUUGCAACAGCCAAAUGCUUAACUCAUUAAAACUACACUGUGUGUGGGGAUCCCUGGGUGGCUCAGAGGUUUGGCGCCUGCCUUCAGCCUGGGGUGUGAUCCUGGAGUCCUGGGAUAGAGUCUCACAUCGGGCUCCCUGCGUGGAGCCUGCUUCUCCCUCUGCCUAUGUCUCUGC
rnacentral:lncRNA from 1 species